CGUAGGGUGCGAGCGUUAAUCGGAAUUACUGGGCGUAAAGCGUGCGCAGGCGGUUUUGUAAGACAGAUGUGAAAUCCCCGGGCUCAACCUGGGACCUGCAUUUGUGACUGCAAGGCUAGAGUACGGUGGAGGGGGAUGGAAUUCCGCGUGUAGCAGUGAAAUGCGUAGAUAUGCGGAGGAACACCGAUGGCGAAGGCAAUCCCCUGGACCUGUACUGACGCUCAUGCACGAAAGCGUGGGGAGCAAACAGGAUUAGAUACCCUGGUAGUCCACGCCCUAAACGAUGUCAACUGGUUGUUGGGUCUUUACUGACUCAGUAACGAAGCUAACGCGUGAAGUUGACCGCCUGGGGAGUACGGCCGCAAGGUUG
rnacentral:rRNA from 1 species